rnacentral:miRNA from 1 species
UAGAGGUUCUAAUGGUCCAGGGUUA